GGAAGCUGUUGAUGAAGAUGGCUGGCUCCAUACGGGAGACAUUGGAUUAUGGAUGCCUGGUGGUCGUUUAAAGAUUAUUGACAGGAAGAAGAACAUCUUUAAGUUGGCACAGGGCGAGUACAUUGCACCGGAGAAAAUUGAGAAUGUGUAUGCAAAAUGCAAGUUUGUCGCCCAAUGCUUUGUUUACGGUGAUAGCUUUAAUGCAUCUCUGGUAGCUGUAGUCUCAGUUGAUCUGGAGACCUUGAAAGCGUGGGCUUCUUCUGAAGGCAUUAAGUACAAUGAUCUUACCCAACUCUGCAAUGACCCGAGAGCAAGGGCUGCAGUCUUGGCCGACAUGGAUGCCGUUGGAAGAGAGGCACAGUUGAGAGGUUUCGAAUUUGCA
rnacentral:misc_RNA from 1 species